ACCCUAGUUGUUCUCAUACAGUAGCAAACUCAGCCCAUUGAUCAGGUUGAAGAAAAUCAAAGAAACACCAACCAGAGUAGCAGAUUCUGUAUAAUAAGAAGUUUUAUACAAAUUACAAUGUUUUUAGCUGGUUUAAUACCAAACAGAGAUAUACAAUUACAAGAAUCAUCAGUGACAGUUUAUCUUCUAACUUAUUAUAAUCAAUAAGCUCUCACUGCUCAUUUUAGCAGCAAACUCCAUGACCCAUGGUUUGGCCCAUAGAAAUACUAAGAACCACCAAAACAGUGAGUAGCAUAUUUUAUAAAUAACAAAUAUAGAUAAUCUCAUUUAAGAUUUAAAGGUUUAGUUGAUUUAAAAGUUCAACUGAAGAUGUAAUAAUACAGAAUCAUUAGUCAUUCACACUUUAUUUGCUAAAUUAUAGUAGAUAUAUAGAUAAUUGCACUAACCAAACCAUCAUUAUCAUUUGGGACAUUCUCAAAUCAUCAAAACUAGUUUCAACCACCUAGGGUUGGUGAAUGAGAUUACUACCUAAGGUCAGUGAUGUUAGUUCCAUUUUAGUCUACGUAGGCAAGGCAGAAGAAAAGGACGAGGAAACUGCUAAAAGGAAUUUAUGACUGAUUAUCAGGACAUAUUAAUCUAUAAGCUUCUUUAGCAUCCACAAGAAGCACCUCCAUUGUACUGUUGCUGAUAUUCUGUUGCCAAGUUCUCUGAUGCUGGUUUGACCUGAUUAUCAUCAAUGAUAAGUUCACCGCGACUCAUCUUGGAUACAAAUUGAAGAAAUUAUGAAUUCUGCAUGCCCCAAAACAUACAGAACAAAAGUGCCUAUAUUAACUCAUGCAUAAUAACGAUUAUAUCAUUAAGAGCUAUCUUGACACAUUGCAAGUAUUUAGCCAAACUAAACCCGAAACUUAGGAUCACUGUUUUGAGAGAAUGUAUGUGCAAGCAUCCUAGUCUGCUGAAUUGCAGCCAAACUUUCUAUAUUUCCCCUCUCAUUUGAUCUACAGAUGUUAACUGAGCUUGUUCCUGUAUGUUUUAGCUCAUUAAUUGUGUUAUGCAAGAAAAGCAGGUUAAAAGGUGAGAUGCAUGUAAAGACUACUCAAGCACGAGAUAGUAGCAAAAGAAAAGGAAAGAUAAAAACAAAUUGGAAGUUAUAUCCAUCUGCAAUAGCACAAGGAGUUAGAUAUAGUUCCCUGGUAAAAACACAUUAGCAUGUCCUUUCAAAUUUGCACAUGAUGCAUUGGUAGAGAAACCUACAUAUCGAAUUUUAUAUUUCCCCCUCUCAUUUGAUCUACAGAUGUUAACUGAGCUUGUUCCUGUAUGUUUUAGCUCAUUAAUUGUGUUAUGCAAGAAAAGCAGGUUAAAAGGUGAGAUGCAUGUAAAGACUACUCAAAGCACGAGAUAGUAGCAAAAAGAAAAGGAAAGAUAAAAACAAAUUGGAAGUUAUAUCCAUCUGCAAUAGCACAAGGAGUUAGAUAUAGUUCCCUGGUAAAAACACAUUAGCAUGUCCUUUCAAAUUUGCACAUGAUGCAUUGGUAGAGAAACCUACAUAUCGAAUAAAGCACUGAAAACAUACCACUGAAAGAAAUGAAUGGGUGACUCAGGCGUGAAAAUAAGAUUGAAGAUAAUUUCAAGAGACAUACAAAAAUAUUGCUAAAUUCCUGUUGCAAAGAGCAGAGCAUGGAGGUCAUAGAUGCAGAUGAUUAUCAGCUUGACAUUUCAAGCGGUCUUAUUUGUGUUGCCUGAAUAACUUGUCCAGCAAAAGAAAUUUAGGACACUUACUGCUGGGAUAACACUUGCCGACAGCAGAAAUUGUAGAGAGAGACUGUAGAAAAUUCACAUGAGAUUGUAGAGAGAGAUACCUUGGGUUAAUAUGAAUGGCCGACGUCCUGUCCUAAAAAGAGAAACCUUUAGAGAAAAAAUUGUUACUAAACAGACCUGGUAAUAUUGUACACGACACAAGAAAAAUAGCUAAAAUACAAUAUUACACAAGCACAGAAACAUAUCAAAAUCAAUAUAGCACCAAUCAUUUUAAAAUGUCAAAACUUAUAAUAAAUACAUGACACCUUAAACAUGAUUAUGACAUAGAAAACAAAUGAACAAGCCUUGGA
rnacentral:lncRNA from 1 species